GAAAUCCGACAUAAUAGUUAGGGAGGCGAGGUAGCUAAAUGGCGUAAUUCAACGGCGCCGUCGAGACCUAUCAAAAUCGAAAGAUAAAAUAAUUUCGAAAAGAAAAGCUCGUAUGGCAAAAACCAUUUUAGCGGUGGGUUUGGCGUGUACGGUUUUUCAAAAAUGUUAAAAAAAACAGUUACUUGGGCAUUCUCGAGCGCGUCAGAUAUUCAUACUACGUAUGCCCCGAGUGCCUCUGAUAACAACGGUAUAAUAAUCUGCCGAAGGGGUGUUAAGUAGGCCCCAAGGAAGCUUCCUUUAAAAAAACUGACGAUUUCGGCGUGACAAUAAGUUACGAUGAAUUUUUGAAAAUGCAAAAAAAAAAGUUUUUUUGAAAUACUCGAGCGCGUCAGAUUUUCAUAGGGGAGGUUUAUCUCGGUAUCCUGAAAGCAUAUUUUUUUAAUCUGACAAAAAUGUUGGUGGGUUCUCUUAAUCUGACCGGGAGUUUGAGUUUUUAUGAUGCUUCAAGUCAAAAAGUUUUAACUUUGGACAAAAAUGUAAAGAGACCUUUUUUGUGUAAAAUAAAAUAACCUUUUUUGUUUAUUUAAACUUUUUUUUUGUAAAAUGUAUCGUUCGCGACUUAUAUGCCGCAACGCGUUCUUAGGAAGACGAAAUGGCUCCUCCACACUUCCGGUCAUGCGGAAACCGGCAGAUUUUGUAUUUUUAGUAAGUUUUAGAUUAUAUUCUUCAAAAUAAAAAGAAUAAAAAUCGCGCUCGAGAAUGCCGGAUUAACGUUUUUGUUUUACAAGUUCGCGACCCUAUAACUCGGCGGCGUCAAGGACUUAUCGUCAGAUUCGUUAAAUUUAGUCUUUAAACACUAAAAUCAACCCCCAAUAUCUUAAUCUGACGCGCUCGAGUAUUUCAGACUAUCCAUUUUUUUUUUACUAAUCUGAUCGUCUAU